rnacentral:rRNA from 1 species
CCUACGGGUGGCAGCAGUGGGGAAUAUUGGACAAUGGGGGAAACCCUUAUCCAGCGACGCCGCGUUAGGGAAGAAGGUUUUCUGAUUGUAAACCUCUGUCAGUGGGGACGAUAAUGACGGUACCCACUGAGGAAGCCACGGCUAACUCCGUGCCAGCAGCCGCGGUAAUACGUAGGGUGCAAACGUUGUCCGGAAUUACUGGUUGUAAAGGGAGCGUAGGCGGGAUGUCAAGUCAAAAGUGAAAGUCAUGGGCUCAACGUAUAAACUGCUUUUGAAACUGGUAAUCUGGAGUGAAGUAGAGGCUAGCGGAAUUCCUAGGGUAGCGGUGAAAUGCGUAGAUAUUAGGAGGAACAGCAGUGGCGAAGGCGACUUGCUGGGAUUUUACUGACGCUGAGGCUCGAAAGCGUGGGGAGCAAACAGGAUUAGAUACCCCAGUAGUC